AGUGAACGCUGGCGGUAGGCCUAACACAUGCAAGUCGAACGGCAGCACAGUAAGAGCUUGCUCUUACGGGUGGCGAGUGGCGGACGGGUGAGGAAUACAUCGGAAUCUACUUUUUCGUGGGGGAUAACGUAGGGAAACUUACGCUAAUACCGCAUACGACCUACGGGUGAAAGCAGGGGAUCUUCGGACCUUGCGCGAUUGAAUGAGCCGAUGUCGGAUUAGCUAGUUGGCGGGGUAAAGGCCCACCAAGGCGACGAUCCGUAGCUGGUCUGAGAGGAUGAUCAGCCAAACUGGAACUGAGACACGGUCCAGACUCCUACGGGAGGCAGCAGUGGGGAAUAUUGGACAAUGGGCGCAAGCCUGAUACAGCCAUACCGCGUGGGUGAAGAAGGCCUUCGGGUUGUAAAGCCCUUUUGUUGGGAAAGAAAAGCAGCAGGUUAAUACCCCGCUGUUCUGACGGUACCCAAAGAAUAAGCACCGGCUAACUUCGUG
rnacentral:rRNA from 1 species